AAUCGGAAAGUCCGGAUUGCGAAGUGAUUUCUAAAGCAACCACAACCGUGUCCUCACGUCUGAGAUUGUUCGGUUGGUCAGAAAGUUCGUUCGGAGUUUUCCAGAAGAUCCUACGGAAAAGCCCAAACGAGCUUUUUGGUCAACCCAGUAUUUCGGCAUUUCUCUGCUCCCCUUUGCAACUUGACAUUUACCUAACAGUGUGCUCCUGAGCAAGGUGAUGGAAGUUAAAACAGGAUGGACAGGCUGUUACAUUUGAAACAAAGGGUCUUUAACUGCCCUCCCUAUCCUCCUUUUGUUCUGGAUCAAAGUUACACAUUUUACUGGAAAGUAAUCUCCGGUUCUAACAGUGCCCAACAGCAAUUGUGCACAACAGUUUUCUUAGGCAUCUAUGCUACAGGUCGAAUGCCCCCACUUAAUUUACUGAAUUGGAGAAGAUGGAGAAGAGGGACAGAAAAAUUAGGUCAAGGCACCGGAGAACUGCGGGGCAAAUAGUGAGAGGGCAGGCGUCUGCUGUAGUAGCGACGAAGCGUGAAAAAAAAUACGACAGAGUCCCCGAGGGAAGAGAACCCGGAGCUGUGAGCGCCAUCCUCCUGUGGAAAGUAGGCGGCGGCUUUAAAAGACUGAGCCCGGGAGAAUUUCCAACAAACAGCCUAAAGGCGGAGCCUGGGGAGAAGACAGAAAGUUACACUCGCGCUGCUCUGAAAAAGGGGACUCGGCUGCCCCCAAGACCCAGAAUCUCGUCCUGGGUGAUGUUUUUGUUGUCAGUUUCCCUCUUGGUAGUUUUCUCCUUAGAGCUGAGAAGUGGCCCAUAAGCCACCCAAGAUUUGUGUGUGUCCUUUAACAGCUUAGGAGAGAGACGAAGACCAAUUUUACUUAAAAGAAAACACCUGUGUGGUAGCCGAAUGUCCCGGCGGAGCGGCUGAGCCAUCUCGCCUCCCAGGUGCAGUUCCUCGCAGGGGGAAGUCAAGCAGCCCCCAAAACUUCUGCGAAGGCGCACGCUUCCUGGCCCCAUGGCCCCUCCCACCUCGAGCACAAGAUUUUAAUCCUUCCUCGAGGAUGUUUACGGUGAGGCGACGCUCGCUCAAUUUCAGUAUGCUACUAAACCGACAUAUUUUUAGAGUUUGGAAAUUUCACAGUCUGUUUCUGACCCUUUUUAUUCAAUUUAAUAAAUACUUA